rnacentral:rRNA from 1 species
GGUGCACGUUAGGUGUGGGAGGAUUCGACCCCUUCCGUGCCGGAGCUAACGCGUUAAACGUGCCGCCUGGGAAGUACGGUCGCAAGAUUAAAACUCAAAGAAAUUGACGGGGGCCCGCACAAGCGGUGGAGUAUGUGGCUUAAUUCGAUGCGACGCGAAGAACCUUACCUGGCCUUGACAUGCAUCUCUAAACCGGUGAAAGCCGGGGAGUGUAGCAAUACACAAUUUGCACAGGUGCUGCAUGGCUGUCGUCAGCUCGUGUCGUGAGAUGUUGGGUAAAGUCCCGCAACGGAGCGCAACCCCUGUGAUCUGUGCCACCGGCGCAAGCCGAGCACUCUGAUCAGACUGCCCUGUGAAACGGGGAGAAGGUGGGGACGACGUCAAGUCAGUAUGGCCCUACGGGCCAGGGCUGCACACGUACUACAAUGCCCAGGACAGAAAGAACC